rnacentral:lncRNA from 1 species
AUAUUUUUGGUUUCACUGCUUCCAGAUGUGUCUCUGCACUGAGUCAUCCACAGAAAAAUGCUGGCUUCCUGAAAAAUGUCACCUGCACUCAACAGUGUUCUACAGGAUGUGAUUAAAUUCAUCAACCACAUUGAACUAGUGCACGAUCACCUGUCUCAACUUUCAAAUAAGUUUUACGACUACUUCCCAGCCACUAAAGAACCCCGAUCUGGGAAGGAAUGGAUCUGAGACCCACUUGUGCACAGGCCGGGUG